rnacentral:rRNA from 1 species
GACGAACGCUGGCGGCGUGCUUAACACAUGCAAGUCGAACGGAAAGGCCCUGCCUUUGUGGGGUGCUCGAGUGGCGAACGGGUGAGUAACACGUGAGUAACCUGCCCUUGACUUUGGGAUAACUUCAGGAAACUGGGGCUAAUACCGGAUAGGAGCUCCUGCUGCAUGGUGGGGGUUGGAAAGUUUCGGCGGUUGGGGAUGGACUCGCGGCUUAUCAGCUUGUUGGUGGGGUAGUGGCUUACCAAGGCUUUGACGGGUAGCCGGCCUGAGAGGGUGACCGGCCACAUUGGGACUGAGAUACGGUCCAGACUCCUACGGGAGGCAGCAGUGGGGAAUAUUGCACAAUGGGCGGAAGCCUGAUGCAGCAACGCCGCGUGCGGGAUGACGGCCUUCGGGUUGUAAACCGCUUUCGCCUGUGACGAAGCGUGAGUGACGGUAAUGGGUAAAGAAGCACCGGCUAACUACGUG